AGGUGUAAUUGGAGUUUAAUUACAUACAUUGUGUAUAACAGGCUGAGUGGCGCUAUUUUAUACGUAUCGAAUACAUGGUAUAAUGUAACCUAAGAUUUGCCAGUGUUACAAGAAUAUUUUAACGUGACAUCUCGACCUCCAAAAUGAAUUUUAAACAAACUAUUUAUCGUGCUCUAUUUCAAAGAACGUCGACUUUUGUUCUUACUGUUGUAGUAGGAGCAUUUAUGUUCGAGAGAUUUGUCGAUGUAACGGGAAAUGCGAUAUGGUUGAGAUUGAAUAGAGGGAAGCUGUACAGAGAUGUGGAGGCCAAAUAUGCAGCCUUGGCUGGAACAAGUGAGGAGGAAGAGGAAUAACAACGAUAAACAUAGGAUCUUAGCUUUCGUACAUAAAGUCAUACUUUUAUAGACAUCUUGAAACACCUGGAUGAAUUUUGGACAUACCUGUGUGCUUUUACAACAAAGUGACAUUUUCUUGGGUGCAGAAAUUAUGGGAACAUCAAAGUUUCAACACACAAGAAGUGCUUGAAUAAUUACAAAGUAAUAUUUCCUCAAUGUGAAAGCUAUUUUGAAGAAAGGUUUUAAAAAUGCAGGAUUGAUAACAUGUUUAUUCAAAAGGUUUUAAAAAUGCAGGAUUGAUAACAUGUUUAUUCACUCACUCUUCAUGUGUUUUCAAUUUAUGUUUUAGUUUACAAAAAAAUAAAUUACUUGAAAUGUCGAAA